UUUGAUUCUUGGGACUACUAGAUAUUGGUUGUUCAUUGCUGAAAAUUUGAAUCCAACUUGGUACUCUUACUAACUCUGCUCCUUUAAUUUCUUACUGGAUAUUGUUGUGACCCAAUUUUGUAUAAAAGUUCAUACACAGUUUUUUAUCAAAAUGCAUAUGGUUUAAGUGAAUUUGAAGUGAUUCUGUGUAGGUAUAUUCUGGUUCCAGCUUCAUUGUACUUGGGUUUUGCUGCUUCCAUAAUAUGGGUUGGGCAGUAUUUUGAAGCAGCCAUUCGCUUGGUACCAUUGCAAGGUCUGGCACCAAGGAAUUCAUGGAAGCCUUGGAUGCUGGAGCUGAUCUUAGCAUGAUUGGUCAGUUUGAUGUUGGGUUCUACUCUGCAUAUCUUGUUACUGAGAAGGAAGAGGAAGGAAUUCUAAAAAUAAUAAUGUUGCUACGCUUAUAUAGCCUUUACAUUUUUGGCCUUUAUGUUUAGGUAUAUAUAGGCAGGGUUAAUUAGUAUGUGUUAAAUGUUGGGAUGAACAUGCUAUUAAUGGAAUGAAUUGGUUUUGGAAUCAA